GCAGAAAACCUAGGAUCUGUUUUACAAAGACUUUGGUAUGUCUGAGUUUAGUCAGGCAUAAGUUUUCAUUAACCUUUACCCUGCUAAGUUUCUAAAAUGAACUGAUCCAUCGUUCAGUUUGGACAGUACCAUCUGUUUUUCGAAGGGGUGUUCACUGAAAAUUUACUGACUGAAUAGCGAACAGUGCAGACCAUGAUCUGCCUGCACAGAUGUGCAGGCUGAUCUUGGUCUGCACUGGUCGCAAAGGCAGAAUCACUUGUUGCUAGUAGGCUAAAGGUUAACCGUAAACUAGUUGUGAAACUGAUUCAAGGUUGUUUACAUCUAAAAUGCAAGACAGUAAAUUCUCAAAAUUUAUUUUAUGCAUGGGUGUACUACUGUUGUGUGUGCUUAAAAUGUAGAUUAUUACAAAGUAGCUCUAAUUUGAAAUUUUUUGCUGUUGACAGGUUUCCAUGUUGUCUGCUGUUGGAAGAACAUCUAUGAGGGACAGUGAAUAGAAUCUUUAUCUUCUGCUUAUAUACAACACUUACUCAUAGGCCAGUGGCACAAUUUCUAGCUGUACAAGGAUAUCAUGGUGUUUGAUAAGUUGAUGACAAUGAAACUAAUGACCAUGUUAACAUCAGAGGAAAAGCAAACUGGGAGAAGAAAGGACAACAUUGUUUUCGAUCUUGAAGGCCUGCGUAGACAUAGGACCAGGAAGGGGAGCUAGGAGUGGGAGAAGUGCCUGUGACUGAUAUAUGCACUAUCAGAUAGAAAUACAGUUCAAAAGGAAAUCUGAAAUAGUGAAAUAGCAGAAAUCAUGACAUACAUACUGUGUAAUCUGCUCUAAAACACAAACAUUUGAAUUUAAAAUGUGUUAAAUGCAAAACAGUUCUACUUACAAAAUGAAUCUUUCAGUAAAUGUUAAAUGCAGCUGAAAAGUGAUAUACAUGAAAUGUGUGAAAACAGUGCAAGUUAAGUUUGAUUUUUU
rnacentral:lncRNA from 1 species